GUCCUCGAUGGCUCAGGUGGUUAGAGCAUCUGCCAUGUAAGCAGAAGAUCCCGGGUUCAAGUCCCGGUUGGGACA